rnacentral:rRNA from 1 species
UACAGAGGAUGCAAGCGUUAUCCGGAAUUAUUGGGCGUAAAGCGUCUGUAGGUGGCUUUUUAAGUCCGCCGUCAAAUCCCAGGGCUCAACUCUGGACAGGCGGUGGAAACUACCAAGCUGGAGUACGGUAGGGGCAGAGGGAAUCUCCGGUGGAGCGGUGAAAUGCGUAGAGAUCGGGAAGAACACCAACGGCGAAAGCACUCUGCUGGGCCGACACUGACACUGAGAGACGAAAGCUAGGGGAGCGAAUGGG